rnacentral:precursor_RNA from 1 species
CGCAGAGUACAUGGGCAGCCAGCUUUGAUGAGCACGACUUCAUCUGUAACGACCACGCGGGGCAGAAAACAUCCCGAGCAAGACUUUAUCGUAAGUUAGACCUAGCGAAUCCGGAUAAUCUCGAUCCUGUCAAAGCGGCGGUGAAAUGUCUCCUCCCUUUCAUAUCACAGCCACUUUGAUGUGGUCGGUUUACUGAGAACGGCCCAGGGUCAUGAAUAUAUAUUAAUCUCGUACGUGUCAGUCCAUGGCCCACUCGUAAAAAUGGCUGUGUCGUGUAGCAACCCUCAUAUCACAGCCAUUUUUGACGAGUUGGGCUGUGUGACGUAUCACCGAUAGGACAAAUAAAAAAAGAAGAAGUGUCUCUUCUAGGCGGCGAAUGUUUCGUCGCUCACAAAGUGGUUGUCGUAUGCGUUUUUACUUUGGCCAUAUCACAGCCAGCUUUGAUGAGCGAUGAACUUCAGAAUCCUUCGACUCAGAUCUUUUCAGAAGCGACGUUGAGUAGCGCUAGAACUCG